GCCUGGGUGGCUCAGUGGGUUGAGUGUCUGACUUCGGCUCAGGGCAUGAUCUCGCAGUCUGUGAGUUCGAGCCCCACAUCGGGCU
rnacentral:tRNA from 1 species